rnacentral:rRNA from 1 species
CCUACGGGAGGCAGCAGUGGGGAAUAUUGCACAAUGGGGGAAACCCUGAUGCAGCGACGCCGCGUGAGUGAAGAAGUAUUUCGGUACGUAAAGCUCUAUCAGCAGGGAAGAAAAUGACGGUACCUGACUAAGAAGCCCCGGCUAACUACGUGCCAGCAGCCGCGGUAAUACGUAGGGGGCAAGCGUUAUCCGGAUUUACUGGGUGUAAUGGGAGCGUAGACGGCAGGGCAAGUAUGGAGUGAAAUCCCAUGGCUUAACCAUGGAACUGCUUUGGAAACUGUGCAGCUAGAGUGCAGGAGAGGUAAGCGGAAUUCCUAGUGUAGCGGUGAAAUGCGUAGAUAUUAGGAGGAACACCAGUGGCGAAGGCGGCUUACUGGACUGUAACUGACGUUGAGGCUCGAAAGCGUGGGGAGCAAACAGGAUUAGAUACCCGGGUAGUC